ACAACAAAUCAUCCCAAAAUUGAGGCAGUGGAAUUUGGGAGCAAUGAGGCUUUUACAGCACUGAGCACAGCAGCGUGAUAAGUUCAAGAUGGAUGAGAGGUCUGCAUUUCUUUGGUAUGACAUGGAAAAGGAGCAACUUUGAAAGGAUAAAUAACCCGAAAUGGAACUGCUGGAUCAUGUAGUAGUUCUACAUUAAAAGAUCCUUUGGCUGUUGUGUGGAGAAAGCAAUUUCUGGGAGAAGAGUGGAUGCAGAAUCAAACAUGGAGCCUGUUGAGAUGGUUCAGUUAAGACGUGAACUUAGACCAGGGAAGGGAAGUGAAAAUGGAAGAAAGUGAAAGCACUGGUUUUGAAGAUUGAACUAACAGACUUGAUGGGAAAGGAAGCAGUGAAGAAAAUGAAGAAAAUAAAGCUGACUCAUAAUUUUUGAGUUUGACCAACUGUGUGAUGAGAAUGACCAGAGGGUUGGAUAUGGGGGUGGACAUCAACAUCUAGUUUUUUGGAAAUAUAAAGUGUGAAAUGUCAAAGUUGUCAGAAGGAUAUAUGAAUUUGAAGCUUGGAAACAGCAACAGCUAGAGCUAUAAAUUUAGAAAUCAUCUCUAUUUAUAGCCAUUAAAUUGGAAUGCUUCAUAACUUGGUUCUCAACCCUGCUUUUUUCAGAAUUUUAUCAGUGACUCUGGAAAAAGGUAUAAGCAAAAUCAUGGUUUAACAGUAAUUUAAGACACUGAAAACACUCAAAAAUAAGAAAAUAACUCAA